UACAGAGGGCUCAAGCGUUGUUCGGAUUCAUUGGGCGUAAAGGGUGCGUAGGCGGCGCGGUAAGUCGGGUGUGAAAUCUUGGAGCUUAACUCCGAAACUGCAUUCGAUACUGCCGUGCUUGAGGACUGGAGAGGAGACUGGAAUUUACGGUGUAGCGGUGAAAUGCGUAGAUAUCGUAAGGAAGACCAGUGGCGAAGGCGGGUCUCUGGACAGUUCCUGACGCUGAGGCACGAAGGCCAGGGGAGCAAACCGG
rnacentral:rRNA from 1 species